UACGUAGGGCGCAAGCGUUUGUCCGGAAUUAUUGGGCGUAAAGAGCUCGUAGGCGGUUUGUCGCGUCUGCCGUGAAAGUCCGGGGCUCAACUCCGGAUCUGCGGUGGGUACGGGGCAGACUAGAGUGAUGUAGGGGAGACUGGAAUCCUGGUGUAGCGGUGAAAUGCGCAGAUAUCAGGAGGAACACCGAUGGCGAAGGCAGGUCUCUGGGCAUUAACUGACGCUGAGGAGCGAAAAGCAUGGGGGAGCGAACAGG
rnacentral:rRNA from 1 species